AUAAAACAAAAUAAAAAGAAGCUUUAUAGCAUUGCUCACAGAAGAGGCAUCUCCACUACAUUGCUGACUAAAUAGUUGCUCGUCCCGGAACUACCUCUCACUUCCGCCCGGCAGCCCAGCCGGCUUCAGUUCUACCGGAAGGGGUUUGUCUAGGGUGACUGUACUUCCUAUUCUGUUCCUUUCCACGGUCUCGUCAAUGGUUCCGGCUUGCGUUCGUGUUCAGAAUGACGUCGCAGAAGGGCGGAGAAGGGUGGUGUGUGCUCGUGCGUCAGACUGUCUUUGCUGGGGGUUCUUCUCAUAACCGUGGAGCUUUCGCGGUUUUGUGUGGGGCGUGGGACGGCCAGUUACCUUCCUGGCCGCUGGCAGGGAGCCGGAAGGGCUUCCUGCGACCCCGCACCUGUAGCGGAAGUGCAAGCCUUGAGUAAGGCCGCUGCCUUACGCAACUAGUCUCUAAUCUCACUCGCUGGUACGUGUGGUGGAGGGAACGUGUCUGCCCAGAAGGGAAGGCGGGCGCAGUCGUGUUAAACUGUGGCCCUGCCCCAGUUCUAGCCGCUUCCACUUACCUGUGUGUCUAAGGGCGAGGCGGUGGUUACUCCGCAUUCUUGCUUAUGCUGGUUUGAUCAGGCUGCUGUGAGAAUUUUUAGUGGAAGAAAGGGGGAGUUGGAAAGCUGACGUUUGGAGCCCAGAGCUCUGUGUCUGAAGGGCAGUUUGGGGAGAAAUGGUGGUAACUUUUACCAGAGACUGACCCAGAUGCCUUAAGGUUCGAAUCCCAAAGCGUAAACUGCACCAGGUAAAAGUUAGAGUCAAAGCCAGAGGCAAUAUAAAUGUGGCUAGAAGACCAGAAGCACCGUUUCAAGUCUGCCAGAGAAAUGGAGUGCAGCACUGGUGACCCUGUCUUGAUAGUGUUAAUGAUUUCCCCCUAACCACAUUGUUCCUAGGCUCUUCCUUAAGUGUUGGAGCCUGGACUGUGACCUAGGGACGGGAACCGUGGCUAGCUAAGGAGGCCGAGCUUCACGUAACUUCCAGAUCUCAUGUCAACACCAAGCCCGCAGCUGCUCGUGGCAGCCGCUCGGCAGACCCUGGGUACCGGAAAGAGAAAGGGCCCACCUCGAGCUGUCUGUCUUCACCUAGCAGGAGAGGUGCUGGCCGUGGCUCGCGGGCUGAAGCCUGCUGUUCUCUAUGAUUGCAACUCUGCUGGAGUGUUGGCGCUCCAGAGCUAUCUGGAGGAGCUGCAGAGGCUGGGCUUCCUGACAUUGGGACUUCACAUUCUUGAGAUUGGAGAGAAUAAUCUCAUUGUCAGUCCUGAGCAUGCCUGCCAGCAUCUGGAGCAGGUACUGCUUGGUACCACAGCCAUAGUGGAUGUUUCCUGCUCCCAGCCUCAUCCUUCUGUCUGUUCAUUGGACCAGCUCCAGAACUUGAAAUCUCUCAUAGCUGAGAUCAUCACACAUUUUCAAGGACUGCAGAAGCAUGUGUCUCCGGGAGUCUCCUCCAGCAAGUUGCCUUCCUCAUCUUGGAAUCUCUGCACUGUGUUUGGGAUACUCCUGGGCUAUCCUGUCUCUUACACAUUUCAUCUGGACCACGGAGGUGGCAACUGCUUAGCCAUGACCCCCUUGCGGGUGUUCACCGUCCAGAUUUCAUGGCUGCCUGCUCAGCCUCCACUUUUGCUCUACUCCUUCAGUGUUCCAGAGAGUUUGUUCCCAGCCCUGAGGAACUUUCUGAGCACCUGGGAGAAGGAGCUCAGAACCCGAUUUAGGACUCAGAAUGACUUUGGCGACCUCAGCAUUUCCUCUGAGAUAGUCACACUGCCUGCCGUGGCCCUCUGACUUAUCUCUGCCCAUUGAGAAGGCCGGAAGGCUGCAGAGAGCUGCAGUACUCCAGGAUGGAACCACAUUUGGAGAGAUACAGUCAUGAACCUAUAAGUGGUUUUCACGUUUCUUUAUCUGGCUUCUCCACCCUACUCCUGUGGGACUCUUGAGGAGCCUUUCUCCAGUCCUGGAUACUGUGGCUCCUGUCAUUGGCGAACAGUUCCAACAC